UACGUAGGGUGCAAGCGUUAAUCGGAAUUACUGGGCGUAAAGCGUGCGUAGGCGGUUCGUUAAGUCUGUUGUGAAAGCCCCGGGCUCAACCUGGGAAUGGCAAUGGAUACUGGCGAGCUAGAGUGUGUCAGAGGAUGGUGGAAUUCCCGGUGUAGCGGUGAAAUGCGUAGAGAUCGGGAGGAACAUCAGUGGCGAAGGCGGCCAUCUGGGCAGUUGGCUGACACUGAGGCGCGACAGCGUGGGGAGCAAACAGG
rnacentral:rRNA from 1 species